GAUGAACGCUAGCGGCAGGCCUAAUACAUGCAAGCCGAACGGUAAUUCUGAUAGCAAUAUUGGAACUAGAGUGGCGUAAGGGUGCGUAACACGUAUGCAAUCUACCCGCAACAGGAGGAUAGCUCCCCGAAAGGGGAAUUAACCCUCCAUGAGAUCACACGAGGGCAUCCGAGAGUGAUUAAAUUUGAGGAGGUUGUGGAUGAGCAUGCGACUGAUUAGCUAGUUGGCAGUGUAAC
rnacentral:rRNA from 1 species